CCCUCUAUGCUAUUAGAAUAUAUUUUCCUAUUGAUAACCCCGAGUUAUUUUCAUCUGGGCUGCUCUUAACCUCAGUUGGCCAGCCCUCAGGGCCAUGUUUUCUUGACUCCUAACCCAUGGUGUCUCUCUCCCUCUCCCUCUCCCCCUCCCCCUCCCUCUUCCCCUCCCCCUCCUCCUCCCUUUCUCUCCCUCUCUCCCUCCUUCACCUAAUGGUUCUCCUGUGACCCCCAGCCCUGGAAUCCUAAGACCCGUCUAUGUCUCUUCUGCUCAGCUAUUGGUUGUCAGCAUUUUUAUUUACCAAUGAGAAAUAACUUGGAUGUAAGGUCACCUAGGUCUAUAUUAGGACUCUCCAGUCUCUCAGGGAACCAGGUCUUGGUAGCUGCAUUUAGCUUUGCAAAAUACAGCAAAAGACCAGACCUCAGCAGACUUAGGUAAUUCUCUUCAUGUUUCUGGGAGAUCAGAUUGCCACCAAGUAAGAACCAGGUGUGUGUGCUGGCCACAAGAUGCUCACCUGUCCAUACUUACAUGCAUUACUGGGACAAAACCAGUAGUAACCAGUAGAUGUUGCUUGGAUCUGGUAUUUUCAGGUUCCCAGACUUUCAUUCAAGAAAAGGUAGAAACAAACUGCAAAAAAGCAAAGGAGUUUUAUUUAAAAGCAAAGCAAUAGUAAUAGACCAGACAUACCCUGUCAAGAGUGACAGGGGGCCCUGUCUGUCUGUCUGCCUGUCUGUCUAUCUUUCAAUCUAUCUUAUAUGUAAGUGUUUUGCCUCCAUACAUGUAUGUAUACUACCUGCCUGCCCAGUGUCUUCAUCAGAUCCCUUGGGAAGGAGUUGCAGAUGGCUAUGAGCCAUCAUGGGUGCUGGGAACUGAACCCUGAUCCUCUCCAAGUACAGCGUGCAUGUUUAACCACUGAGCUAUCUCUCCAGAACACCCCCUGCCCCCAGUAUCUUAUCAUUUCUGCCUCUUCAUGAAACAGUUCCAAAUGAUUUGGAUGAGAGUGGAUGUGUGUGUAAUCCUGGGGACAUAGGCACCCGGAGGAGUGUCAACACUGGCAUUCCUUUGUAGCCCAGGAGUCAGGGAUGAAUUUAUAUUUGUUACCUACUGUGAAGAAAACUGAGUUGCCCAAAGUCAUUUAGUCACACGCACACACACACAAGCACGCACACACACCAUUUAUACUACUAAUAAGUAAAACUAAAGGAAUUUCUCAUAAAUCUGAUGAAAAGACCCAAACAGAUCAAAUAAUCUAAAUGAAUAGAAGAAACUUAAUGAAGACAUCUGAAGAAGCACUUCCUCUGAAGCGUAAGCAGAGGCCGGACUGUAGCUCCCUGGCACAAGCAAAAGCCCCUUGGUUCUAUCCUCAUUAUCAGCAUUGAAAGAAGUGUGAAUGGGGAAAAGGACUUCCGUCAGAAAUGCUAGCACCCUGAAACCUACUUUCCGUUUUUCCCUGGUAACAUAGUUUCUUCUGCAUACAAAACAGCAGACGCUGCAAAGGAGGAAAACAGCUCAGGGUCUGUGAGCACAGGGUACUUGUGGAUAACCUUGGGAGCUCAUUCUUGACUUCACAAAGAUUUCUUAUAUUCCUCCACCACUCCAUAGUUACAAAAUUCCCAGCUCCUAUCAGUGGGAGGGUAAUAUAGAAAGGAUCAUAACAAGAUAGAUAACAAGAAAACUAUGCCCAGAGGAACAGCUAACAAAAAGGUCUAACACCAAGUAUUGGCGAGGAUGCAGAGCAAAGGAAUCUUUGCCAGCUGCCUGUCUUCUGGGAUCCAGAGCUCCCAGGUAAAGGCAGCCCACUGGGUGGCAGAGAAGUGGCUAAAGGGUUUCAGGCUAUCAGCAUGUGGGCAAACAUUUUGUCCAGUCUCAAGUGGGAAUCUAUCUACUGGCUGCUGAGAUGCAGAGGCCAGAAGCAAAGCACCGGACGGAGGGAUAACAGCCCCUGCACCUUUACUGCAGGGCCAGACAGUGGCAGGAGAUGAUGGAGAAACAAUGUCAUCUGGGUCCAGUUCCAGGGCUGCAGAGCACAGGAGAAGCAGAGGAGGGUAACUUUCUGCCACUCCCAUUGUCUGUGUCCUCACAACUCAAAACACUGAAGGAGAGUUUUCCUGAAUCAUGUCUUUUGAUUUAUUGAUUGUAAAAAAAUGGGGUGCCCGGUGACUAGGGUGCCCAGUGAUUGGGUUAGACGUAUCUUCAGAUUACCCGGGACAGUCACAGUUUGUGCCCACUGGUCUUUCGCCCUCGGAACGGUCCCCUUUUGAAGACUGUUCAUGUGGUCACACCAACUGGAUGUAACGGUUUCUGUCAAGCCCUCCUCCCACUGAUAGGAGCUAGGGAUUUUGUAAGUACCAAAAACAAAACAAAACACAAAUACAAGACAUCUUUGUGAAAUCAAGAAUGAGCUCCCAAGGUUAUCCACAAGUACCCUGUGCUCCCAGACCACGAGCCGUUUUUCCCCUUGUAGAUUCUGUUGAUGCAGAAGAAACUGUGUUGGGGGAGCCUGGAGCGGGGAGAAAGUAGUAAGCAUCAGACGAGAUGCAUUAUUGGAAACUGUCCGUUUGUCUAAAAUAACUACUUUAAUAAGUUAAGAUAAAAAUUCCAGGUGACAUGGUGGUAGUGUUUCAGUACUAUGUUCAAAAGGUGCUAUUUUCCUAUUAGCAAUGUACGAAAAAGCAGUACAUUUUACAAGACAGCAUAGCUUAGAUCAGACAAUUCUAUUUGUCCUCAGGUAUUUUGUAUCCAUCAGACAAUGGCUACGUGCAUUUAAUACUGGUCUAGAGGAGCCGAAAAGAUGGAUCAGUGGUUAAGAGCGCUGGUUGUUCUUCCAAAGAACCUGGGUUUGAUUCCCAGCAACCACAGCCACCACUAGGCUCACAACCAUCUGUAACUCCAGCUCCAGAUCUGAUGCCCUCUAUGGGCUCUGCAGGCCACACACAUAUUUUAUACGUGCAGUCGAAAUGCCCACACAUAUAAAAUAAAUAAUUUAAUAAUUAAAAAAAGACAGAAGUAUCCAUUUUCCCAUCCUCCUGUCAACACUGGAUACUACCAGUUUUUGGAAUGUGUUAGCAUCUGACUAGCUCUCGGCAAUUCCUCAUUUUGACUUCAAUACAGAGGGAAGGGUCCCGUGCUCCUUCAAUUCACAUUUUCUCCACUCUGCAAUCUGCUCACACGUGCAUGAAACUUCGCUGAACUUGGGCCUUGGCGUCUCCUUCUGUCUCAAGAAGAUAAAGGGUCAUUCUCACAUGGCACUAUUGGGGCUCAGGAACCAUGUGGGUAAGGAGGGCACUUAGGCGCGGAUAACCACAAAGCAUUGGAAAAACUUCCAGCAGGUGGCUAUGACAUUUUGUGAUUUUUCUUCUUUCUUUCUAGAUUUAUCGUUUACUUACUUAUAUAAGUACACUGUAGCUGUCUUCAGACAAACGAGAAGAGGGCAUCAGAUCUCAUUACAGGUGGUAAUUGGGCCACCAUGUGGUUGCUGGGAAUUGAACUCAGGACCUCUGGAAGAACAGCCAGUGCUCUUAACCACUGAGUCAUCUCUCCAGCCCACGGUUUUCGUUUAAGAAACAUAGUUUUUAUUUUUUCAAUUCAUUUUUUAUUUACGUGACUGCGUGUCUCUGCGUGUACAUGCCACAUGUGUGAGUGUGUGUGGAUGUCGGAAGGGAGCAUCAGCCCCUCUGCAGCUUGGGUUAUAGGGGGUUGUGAACUGCCUAGCGUAGGUGCUAGGAACUGAACUUGGGCUCUUUGGAGAGAGCAAACGCUCUUAACCUCUGAGCCAACCUUCCAGUUCCAAAGAAAAAAUGAUAAAGGAUGCUUAAAACCCAGGUGCUGUGCUGUACGCCUGUCACAGCAGCCCUUGGGAGGCAGGGGCAGGAGGGUCAGGAAUUCAAGACUAGUGUCUGCUACAUAGCGACUUCGAGGCCAGCCUGGGCACCGUGAGACUUGGUUUCAAGAGAGCAACCAACAAACCAAGGAAAACAAAACCCCUUAAAAUUUUUUGAAGACCUUCCAAUUAAGACAGAAUUGUUCUGGAAGCUCUCGGGUGGGUGUGAUUGGUACCCACAGCGAGUCUCCAACACCAGCUGUCUGUCCAUGAUGGCUGUUCUGGGGCUCCUUGUGCAGGACUUGGCUUCUGUUCAGCAGCAUUUAUGCUUAAUACAUAACCAUAAUGAGACGCUGGCUAAAAAUAAGAAAUGUAAAAAAAAAAAAUCGAUGAAAUAAAGCAAACGAAGACCAUAAAACGGCAGUUCCAUAAAUUCAAACCAAGAUGAUCUCCAUUCACCAGACCCACAGAUUGCAUCCCAGCUAAUCAACAUGUUUGUGUGGCUUCUCACAAUGCCUCUUGUGUAGCAGAAACCAAAGUCCCGGAGAGAAAACAGUGGCCAUUACAUGCUAUUUGGCCUUUCAUUGUCAGGAAUAAACACAGCCAUGGCUCCCUCUUGUAAUUUGCAGCACGCACGCAUACACACACACACACACACACACACACACACACACACACACACACACACAUACACACACACGCAGAGCAAUUGAAACCCUUCCAGUUCAUCUCACCAUUUAAACACAAAAGCAUAGAACUUUAAAAAACAACAUUUUUUUCAGCACAAAAGGCAUAAACUCCAAACAUUCAUUUAAGAAACAGUUUUUGUCUAUUUCUGUUGCCACAAUGAGUCAUUACAUUUCAUACAUUUUAAUAUACAGUACAUUCAUCCCUAUGCCAAGAUGACAUGUUAUUUUAAAACUUAUCUCUUAACACAGCAUGCUUUCCCCUUGCCUUACAUAAUUAAACAUUUUAUUUGUUAUAUGCAAAAGAUCGAGAUUCUUUUUACACUGGACGCGCUGCAAGGUUGAACUACCCUUUUGCACCUAGAGAAAGUUUUAUUUUUCAAAAAUCACUGUCUUAUUAUGUAACAUAUAAUAGUUCAAAUUAUUUCAAGGCAAUGGGGUCGGUGGCUUGGCCGGUAGAACCUGCACUCUGAAGGCAGAGGCAGGAGGAGUGUGUGGCCGGCCUUGGUUCCAUGGGGAGACCAUGUCUUAGUCAACAUCAGUGUGCUGGGAGGAGUUAUGUGGGGAAAUAUUCUCCAGUCGAGAUUCCUGGAUUUAGAGAUAAGGAAAGAUAAGAGACCUGAGCCCCCUUGAAGACGAAGAAAGACCAGUGAGAGCUUUGGUGAGACUCUAGUUCCCUGCUCUCUGGAGGCGAUCAGAAAGGGGCUCAGGAAGUUUUUUUUUUUUUUUUUUUUCCUGUGGUCCUGGCGCCCUCUCUCCGGCUCCUGGCUCAGUAACACCGGGGCCUUAGUCUCUUUGGGACCUAAACUAUUUAAGUUCCCUUUAUGAGGUGCCACCGUUCCGUGUAAACUUCGGGCUCCCCACUAUCUGUAUACAUAUGUACACGCAGUGGCUGAUCCUCUACUGCAAACAGCAGAUACACAACAGGGACUGGGGAACAAAAUUCUCCUCCACCACCUCCUCCCACAUUGGUCUCCUUUCUAAGUAACCUUCCUAUUUUUUUUCCUUUUUAAAUAUUUAUUUAUUUUUUAAGAUUUUGUAGAUGUAUUUGUCUGUGCAUGCCGCAGCCCGCCCCGGAAUUGGAGUUAAGAAGGAUUGUGAGCCAAGUCGACUCGACGUUCUCGGCGAGAGCAGUACUCCUAACCUCUGAGCUCGCUCGCUAGUCUCCUCGUAUUUUCAUAAACUACAUUGUUUUUACGUUCUGUAAAGAGGAAAGGGGCCUCACAAAGUGCGUAGUGGCCCAGAAGUCAUAAUAUGGGCCUCGGUCCUGUGUUCGAUUUUUCUGGUUUUAAGAAAGAAACGGAUAUUCUGAACUUCCUGGCUCUUUUGGUUUUAAACGUUGAAACUUUUAGGAUGGGAAGAAAGGAAGCACCAGCAGCUCGUACCCCCAGGACCCUCGGGCUGAGAAGCCGAGCUAGGCUCCGCUGCCCGGCCUCGCGCCAUCGGAAGGGCGGGCCGGGGAUCCGGGUUCGCUUCCCGGAGCGGAUGGGAGCCGCGCGGCGACUCUGUCCGCCCCUGCCUGGCUUGUCUGCGCGUGCGGGGGGCUGGGCCGGCCGGAGCGAGGCCUCGCGGAGGGCGCCGCCCCUUCCCCGCGAGCUCGGCGGUGCGAGCUCGAUCCCGCAGACUCCCCCCGGACUCCCGACACUGGCUCACAGUCCUCAGUCCGGUCCCACGUUGCGGGAAGCUGGGGUCCGAGCGGCGCCCGCAGGCGGCGGAUGCGCAUGCUCCACCGACGCCUUGCCGGGUCUGAUAGAGCCUUCGCAAGGCGGCCACAGCGGAGCUCCAGUGGCGCAAUCGGUUAGCGCGCGGUACUUAUACAGCAGUACAUGCAGAGCGAUGCCGAGCCAGUGCGGAAAACAGCUCGUUCUGAAGCUCUGCACUCGGUUUCCGAGCUGCCGUGUAGCUACUGCGCAGCAUCCAGCAGUUGAAGCCAGCCGACAGCAUACUCCCCUUCCUGAUCCUUAGGCCGCCGUUUAAACGGCUUCAGGACCCCGGAUGCAGACCGAAGUCCCCUGUGCUCUCUGAUGCCCGGCGGCUUCCUGCCAGCGCAGAGGACGCCACAGCUCCCGCUGCUGCCCCCGCCCGAGCCCGGAUCCAACCCACUGCUUCCGGGUGACUUCCCAGGACCAAACGGACUAGGGGUAUGGGACCCUGGGUGAGGGAUUUGCCCCAUUCUCUGGCAUUAGCCCCCUUCCACACCGCCUGCAGCUCGCCCCCCCCCCCGCCCCGACAGCCCUCCCCUGCAUCCGGUUCAAGGCACCCUGCCCUCCCCCGCGUUUGCAGUUGGGGACAAACGUCCGGGAAAUUUCCAUUCUCCCUUCCUAAAGCCCUGCUAUCACUCUGGAACCUCUGGCCUUCUCAGCUAGCUCCGGAUCCAGCCUAGAAGGAUGUCAGGAGUCCCUCACUUCAGCUAAUCCUCACACUCAGUGACACACCCUCCCAUACCUUCCGCUCACUGACUCAAGCCCGGGAGGAUGGAGGCUUAAUUCCUCUAAACAAAUGCAUUCUAAGCCUGGAAGUAAAUGUAAGCGCCGUGAAAAAUAAAAGGGUUGCUUAUUAAAACAAGCAAACAAACAAA